rnacentral:rRNA from 1 species
GACGAACGCUGGCGGCGUGCCUAAUACAUGCAAGUCGAACGCUGAAGGAGGAGCUUGCUUCUCUGGAUGAGUUGCGAACGGGUGAGUAACGCGUAGGUAACCUGCCUGGUAGCGGGGGAUAACUAUUGGAAACGAUAGCUAAUACCGCAUAAUAGUAGAUGUUGCAUGACAUUUGCUUAAAAGGUGCAAUUGCAUCACUACCAGAUGGACCUGCGUUGUAUUAGCUAGUUGGUGAGGUAACGGCUCACCAAGGCGACGAUACAUAGCCGACCUGAGAGGGUGAUCGGCCACACUGGUACUGAGACACGGCCCAGACUCCUACGGGAGGCAGCAGUAGGGAAUCUUCGGCAAUGGACGGAAGUCUGACCGAGCAACGCCGCGUGAGUGAAGAAGGUUUUCGGAUCGUAAAGCUCUGUUGUAAGAGAAGAACGAGUGUGAGAGUGGAAAGUUCACACUGUGACGGUAUCUUACCAGAAAGGGACGGCUAACUACGUG